rnacentral:sRNA from 1 species
UGAACGGUUGAGGUCUAGGAGCCGUACA